AAAAAGGGAACCUCUCCAGAAUUUGCCGUUCUUUGUUCUCAGAUUUCCAGCCCUUAGGAUUACAAGAAGUUGUUAUCUGUUGGGAGAGGGUGACAAAGCCAAGGAUCCAGGAAUCGUGUCUGAGGUCACAACAAAGAAUGCCUUAGUACUGUGAUUAAAAUAGCGGGAAACUGAGGCAUAGAGUGUGUAUAACUUGUGGAUGGUCAUGUCACUGCACGCCUUACUCUGGCUGCUACAGAUGCUGCUGCCAGUGUCUGGGCAGAGAGACAUUCUUCACGGAGGGUGAGGACCAGGGACAGUAAGAGGAAGAACCCCCAGGAGAUGA